UAGUUGAUUUUGGUGUUUUUUAAAUAAC
rnacentral:sRNA from 1 species